rnacentral:rRNA from 1 species
UUAAGCGACUAAGCGUACACGGUGGAUGCCCUGGCAGUCAGAGGCGAUGAAGGACGUGCUAAUCUGCGAAAAGCGUCGGUAAGGUGAUAUGAACCGUUAUAACCGGCGAUGUCCGAAUGGGGAAACCCAGUGCAAUUCGUUGCACUAUCGUUAACUGAAUACAUAGGUUAACGAGGCGAACCGGGGGAACUGAAACAUCUAAGUACCCCGAGGAAAAGAAAUCAACCGAGAUUCCCCCAGUAGCGGCGAGCGAACGGGGAGCAGCCCAGAGUCUGAAUCAGCUUGUGUGUUAGUGGAACGGUCUGGAAAGUCCGACGGUACAGGGUGAUAGUCCCGUACACCAAAAUGCACAGGCUGUGAACUCGAAGAGUAGGGCGGGACACGUGGUAUCCUGUCUGAAUAUGGGGGGACCAUCCUCCAAGGCUAAAUACUCCUGACUGACCGAUAGUGAACCAGUACCGUGAGGGAAAGGCGAAAAGAACCCCGGCGAGGGGAGUGAAAAAGAACCUGAAACCGUGUACGUACAAGCAGUGGGAGCACCUUCGGGUGUGACUGCGUACCUUUUGUAUAAUGGGUCAGCGACUUAUAUUCUGUAGCAAGGUUAACCGUAUAGGGGAGCCGCAGGGAAACCGAGUCUUAACUGGGCGUUAAGUUGCAGGGUAUAGACCCGAAACCCGGUGAUCUAGCCAUGGGCAGGUUGAAGGUUGGGUAACACUAACUGGAGGACCGAACCGACUAAUGUUGAAAAAUUAGCGGAUGACUUGUGGCUGGGGGUGAAAGGCCAAUCAAACCGGGAGAUAGCUGGUUCUCCCCGAAAGCUAUUUAGGUAGCGCCUCGUGAACUCAUCUUCGGGGGUAGAGCACUGUUUCGGCUAGGGGGUCAUCCCGACUUACCAACCCGAUGCAAACUACGAAUACCGAAGAAUGUUAUCACGGGAGACACACGGCGGGUGCUAACGUCCGUCGUGAAGAGGGAAACAACCCAGACCGCCAGCUAAGGUCCCAAAGUCAUGGUUAAGUGGGAAACGAUGUGGGAAGGCACAGACAGCCAGGAUGUUGGCUUAGAAGCAGCCAUCAUUUAAAGAAAGCGUAAUAGCUCACUGGUCGAGUCGGCCUGCGCGGAAGAUGUAACGGGGCUAAACCAUGCACCGAAGCUGCGGCAGCGACACUAUGUGUUGUUGGGUAGGGGAGCGUUCUGUAAGCCUGCGAAGGUGUGCUGUGAGGCAUGCUGGAGGUAUCAGAAGUGCGAAUGCUGACAUAAGUAACGAUAAAGCGGGUGAAAAGCCCGCUCGCCGGAAGACCAAGGGUUCCUGUCCAACGUUAAUCGGGGCAGGGUGAGUCGACCCCUAAGGCGAGGCCGAAAGGCGUAGUCGAUGGGAAACAGGUUAAUAUUCCUGUACUUGGUGUUACUGCGAAGGGGGGACGGAGAAGGCUAUGUUAGCCGGGCGACGGUUGUCCCGGUUUAAGCAUGUAGGCUGAUUGUCCAGGCAAAUCCGGAUAAUCAAGGCUGAGGUGUGAUGACGAGGCACUACGGUGCUGAAGUAACAAAUGCCCUGCUUCCAGGAAAAGCCUCUAAGCAUCAGGUAACAUUAAAUCGUACCCCAAACCGACACAGGUGGUCAGGUAGAGAAUACCAAGGCGCUUGAGAGAACUCGGGUGAAGGAACUAGGCAAAAUGGUGCCGUAACUUCGGGAGAAGGCACGCUGGUGUGUAGGUGAAGUCCCUGCGGAUGGAGCUGAGACCAGUCGAAGAUACCAGCUGGCUGCAACUGUUUAUUAAAAACACAGCACUGUGCAAACACGAAAGUGGACGUAUACGGUGUGACGCCUGCCCGGUGCCGGAAGGUUAAUUGAUGGGGUUAUCCGUAAGGAGAAGCUCUUGAUCGAAGCCCCGGUAAACGGCGGCCGUAACUAUAACGGUCCUAAGGUAGCGAAAUUCCUUGUCGGGUAAGUUCCGACCUGCACGAAUGGCGUAAUGAUGGCCAGGCUGUCUCCACCCGAGACUCAGUGAAAUUGAACUCGCUGUGAAGAUGCAGUGUACCCGCGGCAAGACGGAAAGACCCCGUGAACCUUUACUAUAGCUUGACACUGAACAUUGAGCCUUGAUGUGUAGGAUAGGUGGGAGGCUUUGAAGCGUGGACGCCAGUCUGCGUGGAGCCAACCUUGAAAUACCACCCUUUAAUGUUUGAUGUUCUAACGUUGGCCCCUGACCGGGGUUGCGGACAGUGUCUGGUGGGUAGUUUGACUGGGGCGGUCUCCUCCCAAAGCGUAACGGAGGAGCACGAAGGUUAGCUAAUCCUGGUCGGACAUCAGGAGGUUAGUGCAAUGGCAUAAGCUAGCUUGACUGCGAGCGUGACGGCGCGAG